rnacentral:tRNA from 1 species
ACUGCCUUGGCAGAAUAGUGCGUUAAAUUUAGGGUUUAAAAAAUAUGUUGAUAAAUUAUAGGUAGUA